rnacentral:rRNA from 1 species
UACAGAGGGGGCCAGCGUUAUUCGGAAUUACUGGGCGUAAAGGGCGCGUAGGCGGUCCUGAUCGUCGGAUGUGAAAGGCCUGGGCUCAACCUGGGAAUGGCAUCCGAUACGGCGGGACUGGAGUGUGGGAGAGGUUGGUGGAAUUCCCAGUGUAGAGGUGAAAUUCGUAGAUAUUGGGAAGAACACCGGUGGCGAAGGCGGCCAACUGGACCACAACUGACGCUGAGGCGCGAAAGCGUGGGGAGCAAACAGG